rnacentral:rRNA from 1 species
UACGGAGGGUGCAAGCGUUAUCCGGAUUCACUGGGUUUAAAGGGUGCGUAGGCGGAUUUGUAAGUCCGUGGUGAAAUCUCCGAGCUUAACUCGGAAACUGCCAUGGAUACUAUAAGUCUUGAAUGUUGUGGAGGUUUGCGGAAUAUGUCAUGUAGCGGUGAAAUGCGUAGAUAUCGUCAGGAACGCCGAUGGUGAAGACAGGUGACUGGGCUAGUUCUGACACUGAGGCACGAAAGCGUGGGGAGCGAACGGG